UCCACUGCAUCUCUGUCUCUAUCUCUUGGCGAAACUGGAAGGCUAACUUCACUUGCUUUUCUUGGACAGCCUAGUCGUGCCCAUCACUCCUCCUUUUUCUUUUUCUUUUUCUCUUUUCCUUUUGCACCUCGCUCUGUCUCUCCACCUCCCUGCAAACUUGCUUUUCCUUUUUCUUUUCCUAGCGCCAUUCUUUCUGUCUCUCAAUCUCUUCGGUAGCCCGACCC
rnacentral:lncRNA from 1 species